GACGAACGCUGGCGGCGUGCUUAACACAUGCAAGUCGAACGGAAAGGCCCUGCUUUUGUGGGGUGCUCGAGUGGCGAACGGGUGAGUAACACGUGAGUAACCUGCCCUUGACUUUGGGAUAACUUCAGGAAACUGGGGCUAAUACCGGAUAGGAGCUCCUGCUGCAUGGUGGGGGUUGGAAAGUUUCGGCGGUUGGGGAUGGACUCGCGGCUUAUCAGCUUGUUGGUGGGGUAGUGGCUUACCAAGGCUUUGACGGGUAGCCGGCCUGAGAGGGUGACCGGGCGAAGUGGGAGUGAAAGAGGGCCAGGACGCGAACGGGGGGCAGCGGGGGGGCAGGGGGGAGAAGGGGUGGGGCGGGGAGGAAGCGGCGUCGGGGGGGGGAGGAGGGGAGUGGGGGGGUAGACCGAUUGAGCCUGUGACGAAGAGUGAGCGAGGGGAAUGGGUAAAGAAGCAGAGGCUAACGACGUG
rnacentral:rRNA from 1 species